CUUGUCUCCAGCAAAUAUAAACACUCAUGAUAUAAUGCAUAGUGUAACUUAACACAUUAUAAUUGUAAUUGAUCAGCUUAACAAAUGUUUAAAAGUGGAAAAAAAAUAUUAAACAACAGAUACUCAACUAUUUACUAAGAAAUUAGCUUAGUGUCUCUGCAUCUAGCAUGUUAACAUUUAAAACGACACGUUUUAAAAACAUGCACUUUGAUUGGUCAAAAAUGUUAGCAAAUCUAUGAAUAAAUAAAUUCAGAAUUAAAUUUAUGAAAUUUUUUUGUUAGAAUGUUUGAGGCAAACAGAAGAUGCAUGGAAUCCCCCCUGAACAUGGAGACAGUACAGUUACAUGCAUUAUCAAAGCUGGAUUAUUAGGUGCUACAUUUAAACUCAACCAUAAAUAUUUGCUUAUUUUUAAGGUAUACAGAGAUCCCUUGAAGAAAUAAAGAACAGCUUUUAAUUAGAGAAUUAUCUUUUAAUACAGUUACAAAGCUGUCAAACCAUGAUGAGUAAAAAAGAUGCAAGGAAAUUUGUUUACAGCCUUCCAGAUUCAGCAAAUAAUGCUAGAGAAUGAGUUAAUGCAAGACCUAAUGAUGGAAAUGUACCAGGUUCCAUGGCUAGGAGAAUGUCAGAAAGCCUCAUCAUUAGUGUGUUACAGAGGCAGUAAAGGAAAUCGAUGGUGAUGUUUCUUGUGUUGGUGAUGAGAAUCAGAGUGAGGAGGAAAUGGAUGACAGUCAAGACAAUCAUGAUUUCCACACUUUAACUCCAGGAAAAGGAAGCCACUUUCUGAUCACAGAUCCACAACAGAAAUGGAAGAUUCUGCAUGCAAGUGACAGAAGAUACAAAAAAUCCCAUGGACAUCAUGUGAAAUGAUUUUAAUCAAAAAACAUUUCAGAAAAGAUUACAAAAAUGUAAUAAGAACUUAGAUAAGUGUUAAAGACCAAGUAUAUUAUCUAGUUUAAAAAAAAAAAAACUGAGAAAAUCUUGAUUUACACACUAAUUUCAAUUGAUAUAUUUUUGAGAAAAAUGAUAAACACUGUGUUUUGGAGCCACAAUUAGCAGUAUUGGGGGUUAAAUUGUUUGCAGCAGUUUUAUCAUUAUGAAACCUGCAUGGACCAUGAUACUUGCAUGACUGAAGAGUGCAGAAGAAACUGCAUGAUGUGUGUAGCAAAUGAUUUUGAAGUACAUGUAUUAAAUAUUCUGUGCAGAAGGAAAUUUUUUCCUUUUUUUUCAUGAACAUGUUUUCAAGUAUCGCAUGACCUUUCUGAAAGUGAAAAAAAAUGUGCAUGUCCCAAUUAAGUUUGAUCAAGUCUCCAAAUAAAGUUAUA